rnacentral:rRNA from 1 species
CUCCUGGGAAGUCCUCGUGU